CGGGAAUCAGCCAACAGUUCCAAUUCCAGGCCAUCACCACGAAGAACAGCCAUAGGACAUACAUCAGGACACAGAAACUGCAGUCGACUACUCUUUUUGAGCUCAACUGAGGAAGACGGGCUGGAGAAAAUGAGGCUCUUUUUUUUUUUUUUUUUUUUUUGAGAUGAAGUUUCACUCUUGUCGCCCAGCUGGAGUGGCAGUGGUAUGACCUCGGCUCAGUCAACAUUCACCUCCUGGGUUCAAGCAAUUCUCCUGCCUCAACCUCCUGAGUAGCUGGGAUUACAGGUGCACGCCACCAAGCCUGACUAAUUUUUGUAGUUUUAGUAGAGAGGGGGUUUCACCAAGUUGGCCAGGCUGGUCUCAAACUCCCAACCUCAGGUGAUCCACCUGCUUCGGCCUCUGAAAGUGCUGGGAUUGCAGGCGUGAGACACCGUGCCCGGCCAAGUGUGGGGCUCCUAAUGAGAGCUGGCAUACAGGUGUGGCGGGGACAUGAGCUGCUCCCCUACACUCAUUCUCUCCUGUGGUGCACACUCACUGGGAUAUAGCCACCCAGCCAGGGAUCACGUGCCAGGCUCUCGCUAUUGGAAUGUGAGCUCUCAGACACAAUACAUGCAACUAGGGGCCUCCUUACUGAAGACAGGCCUGGAGUUCUCCCUUUCUAGUGGUGACCAGUGGGACAUGGGAAGGCACAUGGAUAAAGUGGCAGAGCACUGUCAUCUGGGUCCCUAAAUGAUUGCAUGGAGCAGAACCUUCUGCUGACCUGAUGCAUGCAACUAUUGAGAUGAUGAUGGUAUAUGAUACAGUUCCUUAAGCCACUCAGCUUUUGAGGUCCAUUUGAGGUCCAGCAGCCUAGCCUGCCUAGCUAAUACAUGGGUCUCCAAGGUGACCUCCUUAAGAGUUUUCAAGAAUAGGUUUUCUCAUUAUACCUCAUUUCUGCCUUCGUUUCUGAUAUUAAACCCUACCCCUACCCUAUCUCAUAAAAUGUGAGUCCACUGCGUGCUGCAGUGGGCAACUGGACUGAGGGUGGGGUUGGGGCUUCUUCUUGCUUAUCUUUUCUAACUUUCCACAGCUCUGUUAAGCAUAAACUGCAUAAAAUUGUGGAUAGAAAAAAAGACUGGAAGGAAGAAGGAAAGCCUACUGUCUCCUGUGGCUCAUCUAGGAGUCAUGGCCAAGGACUGUGAUUGGGGAUUCCAGGCAGAGCCCAGGGCCCGGGUAUUCGCCAUCCACCAGAGCUUCUCAGAUCCUUCGGGAAGAAACCUCCCACUGGCCCAGCCCUGGGGACAGUUCGAUCUCAGAGACCCAGGUCCCAAUGCCAUCACAGUGGUUUCUUUCUCUCUUUCUUUCUUUCUUUCUUUUUUUUUUUUUUGAGAUGAAGUAUUGCUCUUGUCACCCAGGCUGGAGUGCAGAGGUGUGAUCUCAGCUCACUGCAACCUCUACCUCCCAGGUUCAAGUGAUUCUCCUGUCUCAGCCUCCCAGGUAGCUGGGAUUACAGGCAUGUGCCACCACGCCCGGCUAAUUUUUGUAUUUUUAUUAGAGACAGGGUUUCACCAUAUUGGUCAGGCUAGUCUCGAACUCCUGACAUCAGGUGAUCCGCCCACCUCAGCCUUCCAAAGUGCUGGGAUUACAGGCAUGAGCCACCACGCCUGGCCGUCAUCAUAGUGGUUUCUAAACAUUGUUCUGCAGGCCAGCUGCACCACAUCCCCUGGGGAGUUUGGAAAAUGUGAACUCCCCAGGCCUACUGUCUGCAGCUCUGAUCCAGCGCAGCCAGGUAGGGCCAGGGAAUCUUUUUUUUUUUUCUUUUUUCACAAACUCCCCAGGGCAGAACCCACUGGAGAUCCUGGUGGUCCUCCCUGUCCCCACUGACCUUUCAGAAGUUCAGCAGCAGGAGCCCUGCAGGCAGCUCCCCUCAGCCUCUCCUUCACAAGGGGACCUCUGCCUAGAGAUCCCUCCCUCUCUGAGCACUGCUGGCCGUGGACACAGCUGGGCCCAGAGGUUGAGCCCACUGGAUUUAACAGGACUCCUGGGCCAGCCAGAAGCAGCCUGGGCAGGCGACCGAUCCCGACUUACUGC
rnacentral:lncRNA from 1 species